CACGGGGGGAACGCGAAGAACCUUACCAGGGCUUGACAUGUAUUGUAACCCCGGUGAAAGCCGGGCAGCGUGGAAACACGCGCUUUACACAGGUGCUGCAUGGCUGUCGUCAGCUCGUGUCGUGAGAUGUUGGGUUAAGUCCCGCAACGAGCGCAACCCUUAUGAUUUGUUGCCACUGGUUCAUUCCAAGCACUCAAAUCAGACUGCCCAGAUUAACUGGGAGGAAGGUGGGGAUGACGUCAAGUCCGUAUGGCCCUUACGUCCUGGGCUGCACACGUACUACAAUGUCCAGUACAAAUUGAACCGAGACCGCGAGGUGGAGGAAAUCAUUAAAACUGGGCUCAGUUCAGAUUGCAGGCUGCAACUCGCCUGCAUGAAGUCGGAAUCGCUAGUAAUGGUACAUCAGCAACGGUACCGUGAAUACGUUCCCGGGUCUUGUACACACGC
rnacentral:rRNA from 1 species